rnacentral:rRNA from 1 species
AAUGAACGCUGGCGGCAUGCCUAACACAUGCAAGUCGAACGAAGCCUUCGGGCUUAGUGGCGCACGGGUGCGUAACGCGUGGGAAUCUGCCCUUGGGUUCGGAAUAACAGUGGGAAACUACUGCUAAUACCGAAUGAUGUCGUAAGACCAAAGAUUUAUCGCCCAGGGGAUGAGCCCGCGUAGGAUUAGCUAGUUGGUGUGGUAAAGGCGCACCAAGGCGACGAUCCUUAGCUGGUCUGAGAGGAUGAUCAGCCACACUGGGACUGAGAACGGCCCAGACUCCUACGGGAGGCAGCAGUAGGGAAUUUUCCACAAUGGACGAAAGUCUGAUGGAGCAACGCCGCGUGCAGGAUGAAUGCCUUCGGGUUGU